rnacentral:misc_RNA from 1 species
GAUGAAGAACGUAGCGAAAUGCGAUAAGUAAUGUGAAUUGCAGAAUUCAGUGAAUCAUCGAAUCUUUGAACGCACAUUGCGCCCGCCAGUAUUCUGGCGGGCAUGCCUGUUCGAGCGUCAUUUCAACCAUCAAGCCCCCGGCUUGUGUUGGGGACCUGCGGCUGCCGCAGGCCCUGAAAACCAGUGGCGGGCUCGCUAGUCACUCCGAGCGUAGUAAUACAUCUCGCUCAGGGCGUGCUGCGGGUUCCGGCCGUUAAAAGCCUUAUUUACCCAAGGUUGACCUCGGAUCAGGUAGGAAGACCCGCUGAACUUAAGCAUAUCAAUAACGGAGGA